rnacentral:misc_RNA from 1 species
CAACCCUCAAGCAUAGCUUGGUGUUGGGUGAGGUCCUAGAAGGGACCCUCCCGUAACCCGUAGGCGGUCAUCAUCCAUAACCCCCUAGCGUAGCAGGCUCAUGGCAUUCGUUAGAGGAUAGGUUGAUACCAUGCCUUUACAAACCAUUUCAAAAG